UAAGUGAAGAGUUUGAUCCUGGCUCAGAUUGAACGCUGGCGGAAUGCUUAACACAUGCAAGUCGAACGGUAACAGCAGAAGCUUGCUUCUGGCUGACGAGUGGCGGACGGGUGAGUAACGCGUGGGAAUCUACCCUUUAGCGGGGGACAACUCGAGGAAACUCGAGCUAAUACCGCAUAAUCCCUUCGGGGCAAAGGCUUCGGCCACUAUUGGAUGAGCCCGCGUCCGAUUAGCUUGUUGGUAGGGUAAUGGCCUACCAAGGCAACGAUCAGUAGCUGGUCUGAGAGGAUGAUCAGCCACACUGGGACUGAGACACGGCCCAGACUCCUACGGGAGGCAGCAGUGGGGAAUAUUGCACAAUGGGCGAAAG
rnacentral:rRNA from 1 species